rnacentral:rRNA from 1 species
GAUGAACGCUGGCGGCGUGCCUAAUACAUGCAAGUCGAGCGAACAGACGAGGAGCUUGCUCCUCCGACGUUAGCGGCGGACGGGUGAGUAACACGUGGAUAACCUACCUAUAAGACUGGGAUAACUUCGGGAAACCGGAGCUAAUACCGGAUAAUAUAUUGAACCGCAUGGUUCAAUAGUGAAAGACGGUUUUGCUGUCACUUAUAGAUGGAUCCGCGCCGCAUUAGCUAGUUGGUAAGGUAACGGCUUACCAAGGCGACGAUGCGUAGCCGACCUGAGAGGGUGAUCGGCCACACUGGAACUGAGACACGGUCCAGACUCCUACGGGAGGCAGCAGUAGGGAAUCUUCCGCAAUGGGCGAAAGCCUGACGGAGCAACGCCGCGUGAGUGAUGAAGGUCUUCGGAUCGUAAAACUCUGUUAUUAGGGAAGAACAAAUGUGUAAGUAACUAUGCACGUCUUGACGGUACCUAAUCAGAAAGCCACGGCUAACUACGUG